GCCAACAGUGCCUUUACGGGUUCAUGCAAAAUAAAUGCAGGUAUUCCUUUUCGCUUCACUUUUAAUACCAAUUGUGUAAACAAAACUAAUCCAAUAUGCUAUGGGAUACACAUCAUUUUAUACCCUAUUUAUCUCGCCUUUUUUUUUCUCUUACAAUCCUUUUUGAAAAAACAUUUAAUUCAGUCUGUUCAAUGCCUUCAACAAAAUGAUGUCUAAGAGCCAUUUUUAGGACAAUUUAUUUCUAUGAAUUAAACUUGGGAAAAGUACAGCACAAACUGCAAUUAAUGACAUUGGGGGGGGGGGGCAAGGAACCACAAAUGAAUCUACAGUGCAGCGUUGGUUUCAAAAAUUCCGUAAUGAAGAUUAUGACUUCACGAGCAAAGGUGGUGGCCGUCCUUCUGCUGUUGACAACGACCAGUUAAAGGCUAUAGUUGGAGCUGACCCCAUAAAAACUACUCGAGAAAUAGUGGAAGAACUGUUGACCAAUCCACAGUCAUCUGCAUCUGGAAGCUAUUGAGAAAACAAAGCUCACCAAGUGGUUCCGCAUGAGCUGAACGCCAAAAGGAUCGCAGAUAUUGUAUGACAACAGACAAUGUUCUAGACAGUGGCUGAAUAAGAGUGAAAAACCUGGGCAGUUUCCAAAGCCAAGCUUACAUCCAAAAAAAAAUUAUGGACACUGUCCGGUGGUCAUCUGCAGGACUCAUUCAUUACAGUUUUCUCAAUCUGAGUGAAACCAUCACUACUGAAAAGUACUGCAAUGAAAUUAACGGGAUGGACCGAAAACUGCGACAUUUAUGGCCAGCAUUGAUCAAUUGGAAGGGGCCUAUCAUCCCUCAUGACAACGCAUGCCCAUAACGUACUCUGGCAAGACUUCAUGAGUUGGGUUACGAGGCUUUACCACAUCCACCAUACUCACCAAGUCUUUUCCCUGCAGAUUAUCACUUUUUUAAACAGCUCAACAACUUUUUGGAUGAAAAACGGUUCAGAAGCCAGACACUGAAAAUACAUUUCAGAAGUUUGUCGAUUCCAGAGACCCUAAUUUCUACUCUUCUGAGAUUAAUGCAUUGGUUAUGCGUUGGAAAAAAUAUAUAUAGUAAUGGAAUUUCUUUUGAUUGAAUACAUUUUGUUGAAGUUAAAA